GACGAACGCUGGCGGCGUGCUUAACACAUGCAAGUCGAACGAAGAGCGAUGGAAGCUUGCUUCUAUCAAUCUUAGUGGCGAACGGGUGAGUAACGCGUAAUCAACCUGCCCUUCAGAGGGGGACAACAGUUGGAAACGACUGCUAAUACCGCAUACGAUCUAAUCUCGGCAUCGAGGAUAGAUGAAAGGUGGCCUCUACAUGUAAGCUAUCACUGAAGGAGGGGAUUGCGUCUGAUUAGCUAGUUGGAGGGGUAACGGCCCACCAAGGCGAUGAUCAGUAGCAGGUCUGAGAGGAUGAACGGCAACAUUGGGACUGAGACACGGCCCAGACUCCUACGGGAGGCAGCAGUGGGGAAUCUUCCGCAAUGGACGAAAGUCUGACGGAGCAACGCCGCGUGAGUGAUGACGGCCUUCGGGUUGUAAAGCUCGGUUAAUCGGGACGAAAGGCCUUCUUGCGAAUAGUGAGAAGGAUUGACGGUACCGGAAGAGAAAGCCACGGCUAACUACGUG
rnacentral:rRNA from 1 species